AUGUCCAUGUCAACCGGAGUAGAGCCGACGAUCGAUGUGAAGGUUUUCGUGGACAAGGAAAGGGCCAAAGUGCUCUUCGCGGAGUCCGGCAAGGAGUUCGUCGACGUUCUCUUCGGCUUCCUCACGCUGCCCCUGGGCACCGUCGUUCGCCUCCUCGGCGGGCAGUCUCAUGUGGGAUGCCUGGACGAGCUGUACAGUAGCGUCGAGGGGCUCUCCACCGACUUGUUCAGGACCGAGCCUUGCAAGGCGAUGCUGCUCAAGCCCAUCAACUCCGCGGCGAAGCAGUGCUGUCACGUCACCGCGUUCAGCUCCGUCCCCGGCGCCGGCUGCCGGUGCGGCAAGGUCAUGGCGAAGCUAGCCGCGGAGAGGCCGGAGAAUCGUGGUAACGCUGCUGCCGGUGGUGCUCACUCAGAGGAUGGCGUUUUUGUCAAAGGAGGCAUGAAGUUUGUCGUCACUGAUGAUCUCAAAGUUGCACCGGCCUCAACUUCCCUCAUGCUCACCCUUUUGGACGAGUUUCAAGUGCCAGAUCCAUCCAGUCUUGAGCAGAGGAUUCUCCGGUUCAGUUCUGACAAGAUAAUUGACCUGCUCAGGAGGUCAUUAACUUCGCAGAACCCGUUAACUGGUCACUAUCUUGACGUCGCUGUUGCGCCUGAUGGUUCAGUAGUGGAUAUGCUCCCUGAGUACUUGUAUCCUGAAGAACAAGAUAAUGAGGCUGAGCACUCACUGGUAAAUGCUAGCCUAAGGGUUCUUCAGACAAAGAACAACUCCAAGGUGUUGUACGCCGAAGUUGGCGGCGAUUUUGUGGAUCUUCUCUUUGGAUUACUGACCAUACCUCUAGGAUCCAUAGUGAAAAGAUAUGGGAAAUCGGCAUCGAAAGGAUGUUUUGACAAUCUUUACACUAGCAUAGAUGGAAGUGCUCAAGGAUGCUUGAGGCCAGAAUGCCAGAACUUGCUAUUGUCCCCAGUGUUGACGCCCUUCUUUGGCUGUGGCGCUAGCACGAUGCUUCAAGCGCAAGAACUAGCUCCAGAUAAUCAAGAGAUCAAUGCUUGUUUGAAGUGUAUCAAGGAUCGUGGUUUUGCGAAUCUUGUCACUUGUCAUGGGAAAUUUUGGUACAAAAAAAGUUAUCGUCAAUAUUGCAACGUAAGUGUAAAAACCACAAGCCUCUGUGAGCUGGAUGCAAAGUCGCCAAAGGGAGGAUCUGACAACGGAGGAGCAUAUGUAAAGCACGGACCUCAGAAAUUCAUUGUGACUGAUGAUCUGCAUGUUCUUCCUCUGUCCUUAGCAAGCACUCUGCAAGACCUUGUAGAGAAAGAAGUCGCCCUUACAAAACCCCAGGUUAUGGAACUACUCAAAGCUGCCCUGGUGACUCGCAGAGCUCUUAGCACCGUGCUUCUGCCCGCCAAGAUCAACAAGAAGCUGCAUUACCACAGCUUCGGUCUAUAUUAG
rnacentral:rRNA from 1 species